UGAGUAACCUGCCCUUAACUCUGGGAUAAGCCUGGGAAACUGGGUCUAAUACCGGAUAUGACUCCUCAUCGCAUGGUGGGGGGGUGGAAAGGCUUUUUGUGGUUUUUGGAUGGACUCGCGGCCUAUCAGCUUGUUGGUGAGGUAAUGGCUCACCAAGGCGACGACGGGUAGCCGGCCUGAGAGGGUGACCGGCCACACUGGGACUGAGACACGGCCCAGACUCCGUACGGGAGGCAG
rnacentral:rRNA from 1 species